rnacentral:misc_RNA from 1 species
AAGUCGUAACAAGGUUUCCGUAGGUGAACCUGCGGAAGGAUCAUUAACACGUAUCCAACGUUAAACCCCCCCGUGCACCUUCAUGCUAUACGUCAUUAGCUGAGUUGUGUCGGCAUGUAAGUCGGGAAAAACCGGGAUCUAGGGAGUUGGUAGUCGGGGGAGAACCUCGCGAAAUGGUUUGGCACGCUCCUGGUUGCGAUGUAUACGUUGGUCUCCACGGCUACUUGUUUAGUACCUUUUGUCCUCGACCCGUACAGCUUGCCGCUGCGAUUUGGGUAAUUCGACUUUUUCCUUUAACCACCGCUGGAAAACUAUGUCUUCCCGCAAAAGUACCCGCUCGGGGGCCUGAGAACCUCCAGAGCUGGAAUACCCGAACAACUGUUAACAAUGGAUAUCUUGGCUCUC